CAUCGUACAAUACCAAUGACCCUUGUACGCAUCUUCUCCAAAACGCGAGAUUCAACCGAGAGGAAGAAUCCAAAACGACGCCAAGGUUCCUUUUUUGCUUAACUUGUUUGUCACGCGGGGGGCACGAGCUCUUGUACCCGCAAUACAGUCCAAACGUUCCCAUACGGUAAUAUUCAUUCCAAUUUCCUUUUUCCUUUCCCAAUUUCGUUCAAAAUAGUACGAAUUCGUACACCCUUCAGCUCACCUAGCCUUAUCCUUUAAGAUUUUUGAAUUUGGGAUUCUCCCACAUCGGUUCUAUCCCAGAAAUUUCCCUCAAAUCUCUCCUAUAAAAGGCCCCUCUCUUCACUGUUCAAAGGACGGGUUUUUUUUGGGAGAUUAAAGAGCAUCCUCGAAAAGGUUUUGGGAGCUCUUAGUUCAUAGUUCAAAAUUUUCUCUUGUCUUGGCUGUCGAGUUGAAAGUGGUGUCUUUCUCGAGCUCGUCGUCCUGGUUCGCUGCUCGGCGAAAGUUCAUUUGGACUCCCCAUCUCUUACAUAUUCCUCUUAUUGAGUCAACCUCCAUUGGAAUCGUGAAAGGGAAGAUAGUAUUGUUUGGUUAAAAUCCAAACCGAAGGCAGCAGCUCAGUAGAGAAAUAAUAAUGGUCCUAAAGGGCUGAAGUCCGAGUUUUUGGACUUAAAAUUUCAAUAAAAUGACCAGCAGUAGCAGCUGCCUCUAAAAGGCAGAAAAACGAGGAGCAAAAUUGGGUAAAAAUCCUAAAAAACAGCAGCAACAGUAGCCUCAAAGGGCUGAAAAACGGAGCAGCAGGAGCAGCCUUAAAAAGGCUGAAAAUUGAGAAUUUUUGGACCUUCGAAAGUCCAAUUUAAACAGCGACAGCAACAUCAACCAGAAGGAUUGGGACUUGGGCUGAAAUAAAUUUCAGUAGCUUCUUUACUUUCCUUAUUCCCUUAAUUUGCCUUGUCAUUGCUAUAUUUUCUUUAUUAUAUUUGAUUGGGAAAGCUAACAACUUUAAGAUCCUUUUUCCUUAACCUAGAUGAAUCGUUGGAAGGAUUUUUAUUUCA